rnacentral:lncRNA from 1 species
CAUUUCUCUGUAAGUAUCGUCUACGCAGAAAAAUUUGGUGGACAUUUGAAGAGACAAAUGGCAAAUGCCCUUCUUGGUAAGUUUUCUGUUGUGAUGUGCCCUAGGCCAGUUGGCCUCUUGCGUAGAAAUCAUGAAUGCAUGCAGGCCAAUUGUCAAUAAGUCAAGUGGCCGUGGCAUAGAUGUAGCACCACUUCCACCACCUCAGCCUCUCAGUCUUAGGCCACCCAAUCUUUCCAUUACCCUGCAAUGGAAGACACCAAACUCACACCAAAUUUCCAUUGUCAACAUCGGAAUAAUUAUAUCGAACCAAAUUUCCAACGUCAACGUUGGAAUAAUUAUAUCGGAUUAAGUUAACGCCACAUUCCUGAAAAAUGGGAACCUGUAAUUAUAAAUUUCAUCCAACACAUACAAAUAAAACGAGGCAUGUUUUUACUGCUAGAAGGUAAUUUGGUCGGACGAAUUCGUGGGACGGGAUAAUGGAGGAUGAUGAGUUGAGAUGGGAUGGGACUGGACUAUGUUUUGUGGGACUGGACUAUUAUAGUGAGGGUUACCCUGUAUGCCCUAACCCUAAAGAAGGAGCAGAGCUGGGGACACGUGCGAGGGGCGGGCAGGAGGCCGGCAUGAACCACAAGACACGCUUAUGUGCCCUGCGCGCGCACCAAAUAUUUUUGGAAGUUUUAACGAAAUAUUUCCGGUGCUGUUUAUUUUUAACGAAAAAUUAUAUUUUUACAUUUUCUUAGUACUAUUCACUGCACCUUUAUUUGUUUUUUUUCAUUAAAACUAAAGUUUUUUUUUGGACUUUUCGUUAGUUUUCCUAAUAUUUUUUUACUCAAAUAUAUUAUUUAAGCAAAAGAGAGAUUUGUCCCGAAUGUGUAGUGUAACAUCAGGUAUCAUUAUAUAAUCAGAGAAACAUUUAAAAAAAAAAUCUUUCAAUUGUAUGGUGACAUAUGUUGUUCCGCAUCGUGUCUUGGUACAUUGAAGAAUCUCUCCAAACAAAGAGCCAAAGGAGAAUGGUAUUUAUACUUGACACUAUUCGAUUCUAAUAUAUGAUAUACUUAAUUGAUAACUAACAUUUAUUUAUUUUUUGUUAUAAUAUGGUUUGCUUGCAAUUUGCCUAAUCAUGUGGGAUUGGGGUGUGGACGUGGGACGCUCAUAUCCACCGAAAACAUUGACAUACGAUUUAGAGAAAUAUGAAUAUAUGGAAUUUCGACGGCUUAAUUAAACUGAGUUCUUGUGUUGCAUAUAUAAUGUAUAAUUAAGAGCUCAUUUGGAUAUGUUUUUAAAAUGAUUGAAAUCACUUUUGGUGAAAAUAUUUUUGAAACCAAUCCUUAGUAAAAAUACAAGCAAAUUCUGGAAAAGCACUUAAAGUGCUUCCUGGAAGAAGUACAUAACUGGUGCUUCUUGUAGAAAGCACUUUAAGUGCUUUUGGAACAGAAGAAUAUUUUCUCUAUUUUAAAAGCGCAUCCAAACGAGUCAUAACUUAACUAAUUUGAUUAACGAAUACAUGCAUGGGACAUCACUCAUUAAUCGCGGAUUGCAAUGAAUCACAGUUAAUUGAUUCUGAAUCUCUAAUUACGUUCGUAUACGAUUAGUAUAAGAAUUACUCACCACUUAUAAACUUAAUUGACCAUUUAUGUAUUGAGGUGGGCAUUACAUAAUGAAGAUCAUGGCAACGUUGUGGAGUUAGUUUAGUGGCUUGUGCCGUGAAACCAACCCAAACAACAUCAGAAAUUGCGAUUUGACAGUGAUACUGUUUCAGUUGAAUAUUAUUGCAUAUACAAAAUGCCAACUAUUUGUAGACAUGCAACAUGAAACAAAGAUAAAUAAAUGACAAACCAGUUAGUUCAUUGUUCAAUGUUAAAAAAAAAAAAAAUGAAACAAGAUAACGAUCAUACAACUGUGCACUAUAUCUAAUGAGAAAUGUUAAAGAGACUCUCUUUUGAUAUACAAUGACAUAUGUAUUCAACGUAUUUUCAUAUUAGUUAAUGCCACUAAAUAUUAAUUAAGAUUCACAAACAUUGAUGAAAGUUGAGUGAAACUUGGAGAUUUUGCCUCAUGGCCUACCCCAAGAGCGAGUAUGUUUUUGCUCACCCCCUAGCUCAAGGUAAUUGUCAUCCUUCCCAUCCAGAAUCACGUUGGCAAGUGAGAGGUCUUAUAUUUGAUUCUUACCAAAGACGAAUUUAAACUACAUUAUUGCUAGCCUAUUGUGAGGCUAAGCCCACCCCCUCCCCAUAGUUUAGAUAAUAUUGAUUGUUCAAAAAAAGAAUCAUGUUAUGUGUCUAAGAAUUGAGAUCAUCUCCAAAUUUCUAUGUCUGCAGUCGAUGGACCUGGGAAUCCAGGCUGUUCAAGAGAGAAAGAGAUCUAGGCCGUUCAAAAGCUAGGUUUGUGUGAGGUGUGCUAGUGAAAUGAGCUAAUGUGGUCGUAUAAUUUAAAUUGAGUGGUCCGGAUUUUAGGAUCUAUCGGCUUUGGACUAAGAGAUUCGGGGAUGAUCUCAAUUCCAUAUCUAAACACCAACCAUAGUAAGCCUUUCUAUUUAAUUUAAAACUUAUGAGAAACAAUAAUAAUUGAAUUAAUUAAGCAAAAGAGCUUACCAUUUUCACUUCUUUAUUAAUCAUCAUUAAUUCAUAACUGAUUGCAAUCAUUAUUUUCCCUUUCUCCUCUUCAAAUCAUUAUUUCCCCUUCCCUUCUUCAAUCUUCCCAUAAUUUGUCGCCCCCCUUUCUUUGAAGGAGCAUUAGGACCAUAAGGGUUUAGAGUGUUAAGAGGCUUGUCUGUGGCGGCCCGUCGGUUGGGUUGGGGACGGUAAGUUUUAAGAAACGAAUACUGGUGGGUUGGUAAUUGUCGUUGCAAUCAAUUACGAAUUGAAUCAAUUUUUUGAAUCGAUGGGGUAUAGAUGAAGAAAUAAAUGUAUAGAUGAAGAAAUAAAUGUUAAGUUUUAUGUUAAUUCACUCAAAGUUAGUGAUUGAUUUCGUCAAGGGCUCUUGUAAUAUUCUAUGGCGAUUAAAAAUAUCACUGAAGACAGACAUCAAAUGGUUGGCGGCUUUUUUUGGAUACAAUUUCUUGGACUCACGUUUUCAUAGAGGCAAUUUUUUUUUGCAAAUGGGAUUACUAAUACUGGGUUCUAUUUCAGUAAUUUUCAUGCAAUGGAUGGAUCACUACUUUCCACGGCCAAAAAUACCUAUUUAUUUGAGGGUAAUGUUAAAGAGAUU